rnacentral:lncRNA from 1 species
UAGCCAAGGAAAAAUGAACAUGGUAAAGUUUACUCAUUACUGAAUGGAGAAAUAUAAUGCCAAAAGGAGGGAAAAUGAACUUAGUAAAGAAGUGAACUUUUUUCGAGUAAUUAUAUUUAUGAUGUCAAUUGAGAAUUAACUGAAAAUUUAUCUUUAAACUAUGCUUCUUUACUUGGGGUUGGAGCUGGAGCACUACACCUUUUUAUCAAAUUAUAAUUGUGACAUGGUCACUAAAUUUAGGGAAACGCAUACACGAGUGGAAGCAUGCAUAUUGCCUUUGGCGAGUCAUUACCUAUCACUGAUCAUUCUGGUUGUAGCCUUUGAGGUUGCAGAUAAAGCUUGUCUUUCAGCAACUUCAGCUGCAUCUAGAAUCUUAUCUGUGGUUUGGAAAAUCAGAAAACGUCAUCACACAUUUGAAGGAAGAGAAUAGGAUCACUAGUUUAGCUUCAGUACUUACUGACAGCAUCAAGUGAAGCCAAGAGUACUUCUCCUGGGACCAUAGAUAGGAAUGCCUUUCCAGCUUGAGAUUUAACCAGAGGUGUAAUUACUGACCCGGUGGCAAUGCCAACACCAUCAAGCAUAGUUUUGCUUAGCUUUUCUGUCAUCCUGGACAGCUUUCUCACACUAAGUGGUUAACAGUAAAAAGCAAUAAUCAAACAUUUGCUUUGAAAAGAAGGGUAAAGUUUUGUCAUGUUCUCAUUUAUAAUGGAAAAUGGUCUUGUCUUAGGAUACCGUUUUAUGCUUUUGUUGACUUUGCUCUUCUUCGUGGACCCAGCACUUCUGUUGCUGCUAAUUUCUGUUGCCAUGGCACCAUUUUUCUCCUCUGCAGCUCUGGAUAAAAUCAUUUCCCCUCCCUUGUGGACCUGCUUUUCUAUCUUCAUUUUAGAAUCACUAUCCAUAGCAAUCUGAAUGAUGGCACUUCCUUUUCUCUCAUACAGACCAACAUUUUUUAUGUUUCAAGGUAAACUCUUAUAUUAUUGAAGUCUAAGACUCAAGUAUCACUCAACGAACCAUAAAUUCAGUUCAAAUAAAUAAUACUGAUUUACAAACAGAAAGAAACAAUGAUUCAU